rnacentral:rRNA from 1 species
GCAGUCGAACGAUGAUGCCCAGCUUGCUGGGCGGAUUAGUGGCGAACGGGUGAGUAAUACGUGAGUAACCUGCCCUUGACUCUGGGAUAAGCCUGGGAAACUGGGUCUAAUACUGGAUACUACCGUCCACCGCAUGGUGGGUGGUGGAAAGGGUUUUACUGGUUUUGGAUGGGCUCACGGCCUAUCAGCUUGUUGGUGGGGUAAUGGCUCACCAAGGCGACGACGGGUAGCCGGCCUGAGAGGGUGACCGGCCACACUGGGACUGAGACACGGCCCAGACUCCUACGGGAGGCAGCAGUGGGGAAUAUUGCACAAUGGGCGGAAGCCUGAUGCAGCGACGCCGCGUGAGGGAUGACGGCCUUCGGGUUGUAAACCUCUUUCAGUAGGGAAGAAGCGAGAGUGACGGUACCUGCAGAAGAAGCGCCGGCUAACUACGUGCCAGCAGCCGCGGUAAUACGUAGGGCGCAAGCGUUGUCCGGAAUUAUUGGGCGUAAAGAGCUCGUAGGCGGUUUGUCGCGUCUGCUGUGAAAGCCCGGGGCUCAACCCCGGGUCUGCAGUGGGUACGGGCAGACUAGAGUGCAGUAGGGGAGACUGGAAUUCCUGGUGUAGCGGUGAAAUGCGCAGAUAUCAGGAGGAACACCGAUGGCGAAGGCAGGUCUCUGGGCUGUUACUGACGCUGAGGAGCGAAAGCAUGGGGAGCGAACAGGAUUAGAUACCCUGGUAGUCCAUGCCGUAAACGUUGGGCACUAGGUGUGGGGGACAUUCCACGUUUUCCGCGCCGUAGCUAACGCAUUAAGUGCCCCGCCUGGGGAGUACGGCCGCAAGGCUAAAACUCAAAGGAAUUGACGGGGGCCCGCACAAGCGGCGGAGCAUGCGGAUUAAUUCGAUGCAACGCGAAGAACCUUACCAAGGCUUGACAUUCACCGGACCGCCCCAGAGAUGGGGUUUCCCUUCGGGGCUGGUGGACAGGUGGUGCAUGGUUGUCGUCAGCUCGUGUCGUGAGAUGUUGGGUUAAGUCCCGCAACGAGCGCAACCCUCGUUCUAUGUUGCCAGCACGUGAUGGUGGGGACUCAUAGGAGACUGCCGGGGUCAACUCGGAGGAAGGUGGGGAUGACGUCAAAUCAUCAUGCCCCUUAUGUCUUGGGCUUCACGCAUGCUACAAUGGCCGGUACAAAGGGUUGCGAUACUGUGAGGUGGAGCUAAUCCCAAAAAGCCGGUCUCAGUUCGGAUUGAGGUCUGCAACUCGACCUCAUGAAGUCGGAGUCGCUAGUAAUCGCAGAUCAGCAACGCUGCGGUGAAUACGUUCCCGGGCCUUGUACACACCGCCCGUCAAGGCACGAAAGUUGGUAACACCCGAAGCCGGUGGCCUAACCCC